ensembl:snRNA
AAAAAGGGGGGGCUUCUGCUGUGAGUGACACAUGUAUGACAGAUCACUUGCUCUAUGUGCAAAAUCAACAUCAAGAAAUUUCAGAAGCAUAAUUUUUUGGCAGUAGGGCAGUUGCUGACCAUUGUUUCUGGCGUUCCC